AUGUUUUUUUCAACCGAUUUUAUAAGAAAAAGUUUAACGGUCUUACAUCGGCUGUUUGUAAUGUUUAUUUUAACAUAGUUCGAAUUCAUUUGUUGAUUAAAUUCAUUUGCUAAUAUACCGAGCGUUAUAGAAUUUAUGUAACGAAAUGUUAAGUUUCCUAAUAUUGAUGAAUAUUCGAGAAAAUUCUAACAAUCGAAACGAGUAGUGGACACAAAUAAGUGAAAAGUGUAUCUAUUAUACUAUUUAAUAAUUGUGUAUAGUGUUUAAGAAAGUGUAUAUAUACUGUGUCUUUGGAUUAAUCCCACCCAUCAAACUAAACUCAUUCUCCAAGGGAGUUGCAAUCCGGUGAUGUUUUCCAACGCUACGCACCAUUGAGUGAUCGAUAUAUAUCCUAGAAGAAAGGUCGACUUUUACGACGUUCGUAAAAAAGGGGAAAACAACGAACAAUUUUUAAAAACCCAGUCGAAAAUUUUCGUUUUUCGUGUUUCUACGAGGUACGUCGAGGCCGCAACUCCUUCACGACAAUUGUGUCGUCGUCUUCAUUAGAACCUCGUCAAUAGGAGAUGACCCUCUUCUUUGUGCCAAAAUGGAUGCAAACCUCUUGGGGUGAUGAGCAAACCCACUUGCUCUUGCCUCCAUUCUAACUAAAGAGUCAUCUGGUGGCGGAGGUCUUCCAAGGACGAUGUCUGACUUUUAACGAGCUCAAUUCGAGAAUGUUCUUGGUCGACGAAGCGACGAAUCUUCUGGGAUUGGAGUCUGGUGGACCCUUCUUUCGUAGGGUUGGAACCCUCCGACAAGCUCAGUGGUCUGCUCGUGGUGUUCGCCUUCUCCUUCGGGAGAUGGUUGAUAUCCCAUGUCGUCUUCAGGACGUCUUCAUGUAUUGACGGUUUUUUUUAACGACAACACGUUUAACAUUGUACCUUAAAGUGUGAAAAUAAAAAGUAAAUCCGAUGGAAGUUUGUGUAUUAUUAAUGAAAGGGUUUAUUUUAUUCAUGAUCUUGAGAAUCAAUAUUCCGAAAGUUUCGGAUGAAACGAAUGCAUUAUUCAGUUUCAUCUUAUUAAAUGUUUCAUCAGUUUGACAAACAAA